UUGGCCCCUUAUUCCUUAACGGUUGGUACCAUAACUCCCAAAAUCAAUCCAAACCUUCCUUUUGUGGUAUUGAACCUUAAAGGUAAAAUUUCAUAGAGAUCCAUUUACUUAAACUAAAGUUAGAGUGCGAAAACCAAUGUGUCUUUGGACGACGACGCCAACGUCAAACCAAUAUUUUGACCGAAAAAUUUUUUUGCGGUCCUAUAAAUACUGCAAAGUUUCCUUAAAAUUACCAAUCUAGUGGCAGCAACCAAACAAUGGAUUGUUAGAUUCAUCUGAAAAUUUAAUGACUGAUAGAACUUGAAAUAAUGAACAAUUUUACCUCACAUAAGAUUUGCUCUAAAUGCUUUAGUGUUAGAGAUAUAAGCCAAAAACUGACAAUGUUAUGUUUAAAGGGUCUAUAAUUUAGAUUGACAACUUCAGACAUACUAAUAUUUGACCUUUUCAAACUAUACAUUACCAAAUCACUACUUAAGUAUGUUCGCUACUCUGUUUCAAAAUAACAAGCUUUUUAAAAGACUGUUAUAAAUUGAAAGUAUAUGAAUAAAGGAACUAAAAAAACAGAAAAAUGAAGGGUCCGUGUGCUUGUUUUUAAGAUAUAAGCCAUUAAAAAUUUGGCAGGAAGUGAUUCUCUCUAGACUUUUCAUACACUUAACACUGGCACCUUUUUCUUUCAAAAGCUAUGGAAAAAUAACAAGGAUUUUAUAAGAUUUUCAAAUAUGGCUUUUUAAACUAUAUAAUAAAAAUAUGAAGAGAAAAGUAGGGAUUUGCGGGCAAAAUUUUUUAAUGGCACUGCAUGGAUAAAACCAGAGGAUUCCGAAUAUCUGGUAAAAAUUCAAAAUCAAGAGGAGCGAACAUCCUUAACCUAAAAAAAUUGCCACAUUUUUUCCAAUGUAAUUUUGAAGGAGUAUGAAAAUAAUUUGCUAUUUGCAAAACUUUACGACAAAAGAGAUGAUUUCAGCUUCCCAAUUGUGAACUUUCCAUUUCUAUGUAGCAACAUUCCAGCAGCGCCUGCAUACGGAGUAUAUAUCUCCCAAUUGAUACAAUAUUCCCGGGCUUGUGUUUCCUAUCAUGAUUUCCUUGAUAGAGGAUUGCUGCUCACAAGGAAGCUAUUAAACCAAGAGUUCCAAAUGGUGAAGUUGAAGUCAUCCCUUCUUAAAUUUUACGGACGCCAUCACGAGUUGGUUGACCGUUAUGGAAUAACCGUUUCACAGAUGAUAUCGGAUAUGUUCCUUAUGUCGUAACUACAACACUUCCCUUUUCACGAAUGUGACUUACCGAAUUAGACUAUUUACCGGAUUUGUAAUAACAUAAGCAACACGACGGGUGCCACAUGUGGAGCAGGAUCUGCUUACCCUUUCGGAGCACCUGAGAUCACCCCCCGUUUUUGGUGGGGUUCGUGUUGCUUAGUCUUUAGUUUUCUAUGUUGUGUCAUCUGUACUAUUAUUUGUCUGUUUGUCUUUUUAUUUUUGGCCAUGACGUUGUCAGUUUGUUUUCGAUCUAUGAGUUUGGCUGUCCCUCUGGUAUCUUUCGUCCCCCUUUGCAAGUUAUACACUAUCCACACUAUAGACCUAAUAGAGCAUGUAGUCAGAGUAGAAAUACUAAUUUUAAUCAAACUUGGCAUGAACUAAGAUUAGGGAAUUAUAAGACAGUUUACCUAGUUUUGUGGCAAUAGCAUAUAUACAUUAAAGACUAUAAGUUCAUUCUUAUAUUUGAACUUUGGGUGUUAAUUUUUUGCCGUUUAAUGUUUAACAUUUAACUAUCAAGAUUUGGGCCUACAUAAUUUAAAUUUUGCAAAAAACUGCUUUUAAAAUGUCUUUAUAACUAUUUAUAUAUAAUUGUGUAUGUCACAUGUAUGUACAUGAUGUAUUUUAAUGUAAAGCAGCUGAAUACUCAUUUGCUGUCUCAGAUUUAUUUCAAUUCUUCAAAAGUCGAAUUUAUAUGAGCCUAUGCCUGAAAAUAAAGAUUUCAAAUUAAGGGGGGGGGGGGAGGAGGCUAAUAUAAAAAUUCUUCAUGUAUACUGAUAAAGAUAUUUGUAUUUCAAAAGGAAAGAAAGUUAUUUAUCUGCUUAUAGCAUACCACAUGAGUAGAACAAGGUCCCAUUAGGCCAUGCAAGACUGAAUAACAUUUAAGGUCAAUAUAGUGAGUAACACAUUUUUACAUGUAUAUGAAAAGGCAUACACAUAACAAUGCAUAAGCUAGAGGAAAUAAAAAUGGGUUUCUUUUUGGUAAUUUGUAGGCUAAGGUGACAUCAUACAAGAAGUAUGAGUGAUUCUCAAACUAAAAUAAAAUAAUUUCAUCCCCCUACUUCAUUGUACAAUUAAGUUUACUUUUUAUGCAUAAAAAAUAUAAAUAAAUAAAUUUUGAAGUAAUACAUGGUCCACACUAAGGAAUCUUUUUGUAAAAAAUGAAAAUCAAUGGAUGAUAACUAUGUACUUGGAAUAACAGUUAAGAUUUCACAUGCUGAAAUGUCUCGUCAGCCCAAUCUCAGUCAGUGAAAUAAAUUAUUGUUUGUUUUUUUUUAAGUGAUAUGGAAGUAGUCCAAAUAAUAAUGACGCAUUGCAAGGCUUUUUUUUCUCUCUCUGACGCCGUAGGAAGUAGAAGUGAGUUGACAUAACAUGUAUGUUAUCAUGCAAAAUCAACAGUAAUGAGUAUACCUAUGAUUGUCAUCGUCACUGCAAAAGGAUCAUUAAUACCAGGGGGAAAGGAACCAAUAAAUUGAUCGGAUCCGAUAUGAAGUUCCCAGUAACGGAGAACCUCUAACCUGCUAACUUUGAGUGGCAUGGUCAGUCAACUGAUUAGUUGCAUGGCUGAUUACCAGUUUACUGGCGACCCAGUAAUUUUCCAUAUAACAGUGGCCUGUACCCUUGGGGUCUUCUUCUGACCGGCAAUCAUGUGAAAACCUUAGCAGUAAUGAAAGUGGAACGUCCAGUGGGCUGUGCUCAGCCACGUCCGAAUGGGGACGUUGAAUUCUUGCAACAACUCUUCGAGUGGACUGUAAGUAGCCUGGUAUUAGGCCAAUUUUCUGUCCUUCCUUUUUCAUAGGCAGUCGAAAUUUUCCGACCGUAUCACGGGCGGUCUCAAUUACAAGACCUACAUGUACCUAUCAUAUAUUAUUCGGUACGUCAGACACACCCGACAUUAAUCAACCAAAAACUCAAUAUUUUACAGUAGGGAAUGAAUAUCUCCCACGUUCUCUUGUCCCUUGAAGGAUCAAUAUUGAAUUUCUUCCAAUCGCCCCCCCCCCCCCCACCCCUUUUUUUAUAAGAUUACAUUAUGGCGUAUGUUUUUUUUUUAAUUUUACGAAAGACCAACAAAUCGAUUUUUAUCACCAAAUUUGUCUUUGCUGAGAUUAACACUAAAAAAGUAUAACAAAACGUAACGAUUGAAAACUCACAUGCAGUUCAGUUUUUACG